ensembl:snRNA U6 U6 spliceosomal RNA
GUGCUUGCUUUGGCAGCACAUAUACUAAAAUUGGAAUGAUACAGAGAAGAUUAGCAUGGCCCCUGCACAAGGAUGACACAAAAUUUUUAGAGACCCCAGAAAUAACC